rnacentral:rRNA from 1 species
GAUUGAACGCUGGCGGCAGGCCUAACACAUGCAAGUCGAGCGGUAGCACAGAGAGCUUGCUCUCGGGUGACGAGCGGCGGACGGGUGAGUAAUGUCUGGGAAACUGCCUGAUGGAGGGGGAUAACUACUGGAAACGGUAGCUAAUACCGCAUAAUGUCGCAAGACCAAAGUGGGGGACCUUCGGGCCUCAUGCCAUCAGAUGUGCCCAGAUGGGAUUAGCUAGUAGGUGGGGUAACGGCUCACCUAGGCGACGAUCCCUAGCUGGUCUGAGAGGAUGACCAGCCACACUGGAACUGAGACACGGUCCAGACUCCUACGGGAGGCAGCAGUGGGGAAUAUUGCACAAUGGGCGCAAGCCUGAUGCAGCCAUGCCGCGUGUGUGAAGAAGGCCUUCGGGUUGUAAAGCACUUUCAGCGGGGAGGAAGGCGUUAAGGUUAAUAACCUUGGCGAUUGACGUUACCCGCAGAAGAAGCACCGGCUAACUCCGUGCCAGCAGCCGCGGUAAUACGGAGGGUGCAAGCGUUAAUCGGAAUUACUGGGCGUAAAGCGCACGCAGGCGGUCUGUCAAGUCGGAUGUGAAAUCCCCGGGCUCAACCUGGGAACUGCAUUCGAAACUGGCAGGCUAGAGUCUUGUAGAGGGGGGUAGAAUUCCAGGUGUAGCGGUGAAAUGCGUAGAGAUCUGGAGGAAUACCGGUGGCGAAGGCGGCCCCCUGGACAAAGACUGACGCUCAGGUGCGAAAGCGUGGGGAGCAAACAGGAUUAGAUACCCUGGUAGUCCACGCCGUAAACGAUGUCGAUUUGGAGGUUGUGCCCUUGAGGCGUGGCUUCCGGAGCUAACGCGUUAAAUCGACCGCCUGGGGAGUACGGCCGCAAGGUUAAAACUCAAAUGAAUUGACGGGGGCCCGCACAAGCGGUGGAGCAUGUGGUUUAAUUCGAUGCAACGCGAAGAACCUUACCUGGUCUUGACAUCCACAGAACUUUCCAGAGAUGGAUUGGUGCCUUCGGGAACUGUGAGACAGGUGCUGCAUGGCUGUCGUCAGCUCGUGUUGUGAAAUGUUGGGUUAAGUCCCGCAACGAGCGCAACCCUUAUCCUUUGUUGCCAGCGGUCCGGCCGGGAACUCAAAGGAGACUGCCAGUGAUAAACUGGAGGAAGGUGGGGAUGACGUCAAGUCAUCAUGGCCCUUACGACCAGGGCUACACACGUGCUACAAUGGCAUAUACAAAGAGAAGCGACCUCGCGAGAGCAAGCGGACCUCAUAAAGUAUGUCGUAGUCCGGAUUGGAGUCUGCAACUCGACUCCAUGAAGUCGGAAUCGCUAGUAAUCGUAGAUCAGAAUGCUACGGUGAAUACGUUCCCGGGCCUUGUACACACCGCCCGUCACACCAUGGGAGUGGGUUGCAAAAGAAGUAGGUAGCUUAACCUUCGGGAGGGCGCUUACCACUUUGUGAUUCAUGACUGGGGUGAAGUCGUAACAAG